rnacentral:rRNA from 1 species
UGCCCGAAGGGUGACGAAGCGACGCCGCGUGGUGAGGAAGGCCUUCGGGUUGUAAAGCCCUGUCAGGAGUUAAGAAAUGUAGACUCGCUAAUAUCGGGUCUAUUUGACAAAGGCUCCAAAGGAAGCCACGGCUAACUCUGUGCCAGCAGCCGCGGUAAUACAGAGGUGGCAAGCGUUGUUCGGAAUUAUUGGGCGUAAAGAGCACGUAGGUGGAUUUGUAAGUCAGACGUGAAAGCCUUCUGUUCAACGGAAGAAUUGCAUCUGAAACUACAAACCUUGAGUGUAGGAGGGGAGAAUGGAACUUCUGGUGGAGCGGUGAAAUGCGUAGAUAUCAGAAGGAACGCCGGCGGCGAAAGCGAUUCUUUGGCCUAUUACUGACACUCAGUGUGCGAAAGCUAGGGGAGCGAACGGGAUUAGAUACCCCGGUAGUCCUAGCCGUAAACGAUGGGCACUAAGUAGAGGGG